rnacentral:lncRNA from 1 species
CAAUUUUUAAGAGUUUAUUUGAGCAGGGAUUGGGCAUUGCCAAAUGUGACAUGAUUGGAAGCACUACAAUGACAGGAGCUAGGAGAAAGACUUUUAUAGAGAAGAGGCAAAAGCAAAGCAAGCAAUUAUUUGCUUGACGACAGCUUAGGCAGUUGCCCUACUUGAAAAAGCCUGGGUGGUUUUUUGGUGAUUGGUUAUCCUUAGGUCUCAAAUUCAUAACCUCGAGGCAUUCAUUCCAGGCUUAAGUUUGGGUUUGCUUCCAUGGGCUACCAAGGCAUCAGAGCUCUCUCAGUCUCCAUGGCCUCCUUGUUUAAUCAACUGGAUAACAGGAAUCGAUAUUAAGAAAGGAAAAGCUAUUUUAAGUACAAAUGCAACUAAUACCUAACAGAGCAGUGUAAGCAAAGUACAUACUAGGCACAGUGAUCUAUUACAAUAGAUUGCCACACAGCAUCACCACAAUGAGAAGACUCCGUAAGAACCAUAAAUGUGCGCUGCAACGAAGCGGUUGCUGGGGGGGGGGGGGGGGGGGGGGGGGGGGGGCACACCCAAGAACCCUGGCUUUCUCACUCAGGUAGAUGAGAUUCUCUGCGGAGCAUGAUAGUCCAGGUGCUGCGGCGGGGGGAGGGGUGUGAUGGGGGCCGGUGGUAGUAGAGGAAUGGAAGGGGAGGCUGGCGGCUCUCGGGAUGAUUGCCCAGGAGGGUGAUCCGGCUUUCCUUGCACGCGUAGGAGCCUUCAGCCUUCGAGGAGGCCAGCUCCAGGAAAGCUGGGUGGGGAUUUGCCAAAACUCUUGAGGACAGGACCUGAAGCAUUUAAUUUAAACAGUCUGUCACUAUGGGUUUCCUUUCUGACCGCCCCGGCCCAGCCCCACGAUCGGGGGCCGCGCGUUUGGGCAGGUGUUCUCCAGCUACGCGCACAAGGCUCCCGGCAGGCCCCGGGGGCGCACUACCGCUGGCCACCCCGAGCCACGCGGGCCUGGCUAGACUUCUUUGCACCCAGUCUUGGUGCAGCGCGAAGCCCGAAUGAAAAGAGCUACAGAGCUCGCUUCGUCACUUACUCGGGGUCAGGCACUGUGCCAAACGCUCUCCACGCAACAUUUGACUUUAUCCUAAAAAAAAAAAAAAAAAAAAAAAAAAAA